AACACCCAAAUAAUUUCUCAAAUUUUAUGUUCUUUCCCAGAAUUUCUCUCUCUAGAACUCAAGGUAGAAGAAAAGGAAGGUUGAAGUUAAGGCUUGAAGAAACAAGGCUUUCACUCAAUUUCUUUGGACAAACAUAACUAAGCAUGGUAACUGUGACUCACAUUAAGCACACCUCUCAGGACAUCCACGUUAUGAUUCAGGGUUUCAAGGCCAAUUUUCAAGAAGCUUGAAUAGAUUCUCAAGUUGGUGAAUUCUCAAGUCCGAAGAAGAAACCUAUCAAUCUAGUUCUUGUCAUUUGAUUAGUCUAAAGACAUUGUUCUAUUUCUUAUCCUUUUUAUCAGUUUAAGCUUAUGUUUGUGCUUUAAAAUUCUCCUUGCAUGCUCAUACAUUCUAUGUACUGACCACCUGAGUCCCAGAGUAUGAUUGGUGAGCCUCUUUGCUUUCGGAAAGACUCCACACUAUGCUUUUAUUGUUAGUUUGUUAGGAUGAUCGAAGUUUUGUCCCGACAUCCAUCGUAGUACUUUGAGGCUUUAUAGACAGUAGAGUUUUGAGAAGUCCGUUUCAUUUUCAAUUGUUAAUGUUCUAGAGUUGAGUUGUCUCUUUUGGCCAGUUGAAUGUUUAUUAAGUAUUCUAAGUUAUUUACUUUGAGAUUUUUGAGAAA